GGCGGGGCCGAGGACGUGCUGGGCAUGAAUGGGGCUCUUCCUCGGUCUCACCUGCCUGUGUCCCCAGCCUGCCCCUGACACCGGCACUCGGAUUUCCCUGCCUCCUCUUGCAAGACCUUUCUGGUGAUGCUUUAACCUGGAGGUUGACACGCGUCUUCCCUCUAGGAGGGGCGUAUGGCUCUCCUUCCGCAGCCUGGUGUCUCCGUAGACGAGAGGUAGAAUGGGGAGUUUAAGGAACUUCAGCUUCUCAGCUAAGUUCCUGAAUCCCAGGGAAGGCGCGAGGCUGUAAGAACUUGGUCAAACGAACAUGAGGAAGUUCCCGAGACUUAAAUCUUCCCCCCGGAGUCACAGACCUUCCACUUCUCUAUCCCCUGCUUCCUUCGAGCCCCUCCGGGUCCCCUCCUGUGCCCACCUGUCCAGCGGCUGUGACCACACAGUGCAGGGCCGUGUCGUCCUCGGCAACCUCAUUUAUCUCCGAAACAGCCAUCAAAGCAGGACUCCGAGGAGAAGCUGGUAGGCUGGCUUUAAAACGCCGUGGCUUCUGCGAAUUUCUGCAGAGGUGACAGAAUAUCUCUUUGAAUACGACACAGGGUUUUGCUGUGCUCCCCGGAAUUCAGAGGUAUUGGCCGCGGAAGCUGGGGUGACUGUAUUUUGUGCGUGCCAGGCCGGUCCUGGGCGCGUGAGGCGCCCCACCGCCCUGGAUCCUCAUGGAUUGGCGAGAGGUGUUAGCAUCCCAAGUGAAUAAGAGAGACAAGGGGUGUCUUUGUUACGGCCCCCAAGCAGCACCGGGCGGGCGCAGCCCCAAGUCUCGGGCUAUCUGACUCCCCAUUUGUCAGAUGGUGACUGGGUGAUGAACUGAGAGGCCCGUGGGGACACAGACACGUGGGGACACAGACACGGGGAGCUGACACUCAACACAGUCUCAGCCGGGCCCCAGGAGGGGUGCCCCAGGCCACCACGUGGUGGGGGACAGAGGACGUCCUCUAUUUAGCUGGAAAUACUGGCUAAGAGGGUUAGGUGGUAUUUCCAAGGUUCUCUUCAAGAAGGAUCCAGACCGGGCCGUGCACCAGGGUAAAGCUCUUUCCAAGUCCCAGCCCCCGGCUGCCCGCAAACGGAGGGGUUGGCAGGGGUCCCGUGACCACGGUUCUCUGCUCAGCUGUGUCUAACUUGGGCAGAUUGACACCUUCCUUCCUGAGCGCACUUGGAUCCUCACACACAAAGAUUCCCUUGUUAUGCCCAACAGACAGUGCCUUCACAGGCCUCACCCCUCAGAAUAACCAUCUGAGGCCAUUCUGUCAUCAUUUUGGAGAAGAGGAAACUGAGGCCCAGAGAGGUGAGGUGCCUUGUCUGAGGUCACACAGCAAGGAAGCGGUGAAGCCAGGAUUAUAACCUUUUUUGACUCUUUUCAAAACACAUCCUUUUUAAAAAAAAUUUUUUUAA